GACGAACGCGGGCGGCGUGCUUAACACAUGCAAGUCGAACGGAAAGGCCCAGCUUGCUGGGUACUCGAGUGGCGAACGGGUGAGUAACACGUGGGUGAUCUGCCCUGAACUUUGGGAUAAGCCUGGGAAACUGGGUCUAAUACCGGAUAUGACCUUGGAGUGCAUGCUCUGGGGUGGAAAGCUUUUGCGGUUCAGGAUGGGCCCGCGGCCUAUCAGCUUGUUGGUGGGGUAAUGGCCUACCAAGGCGACGACGGGUAGCCGACCUGAGAGGGUGAUCGGCCACACUGGGACUGAGACACGGCCCAGACUCCUACGGGAGGCAGCAGUGGGGAAUAUUGCACAAUGGGCGCAAGCCUGAUGCAGCGACGCCGCGUGAGGGAUGACGGCCUUCGGGUUGUAAACCUCUUUCACCAGGGACGAAGCGCAAGUGACGGUACCUGGAGAAGAAGCACCGGCCAACUACGUGCCAGCAGCCGCGGUAAUACGUAGGGUGCGAGCGUUGUCCGGAAUUACUGGGCGUAAAGAGCUCGUAGGCGGUUUGUCGCGUCGUCUGUGAAAUUCUGCAACUCAAUUGUAGGCGUGCAGGCGAUACGGGCAGACUUGAGUACUACAGGGGAGACUGGAAUUCCUGGUGUAGCGGUGAAAUGCGCAGAUAUCAGGAGGAACACCGGUGGCGAAGGCGGGUCUCUGGGUAGUAACUGACGCUGAGGAGCGAAAGCGUGGGUAGCGAACAGGAUUAGAUACCCUGGUAGUCCRCGCCGUAACGGUGGGUACUAGGUGUGGGGCUCAUUUCACGAGUUCCGUGCCGUAGCUAACGCAUUAAGUACCCCGCCUGGGGAGUACGGCCGCAAGGCU
rnacentral:rRNA from 1 species